UAAUAGCCCUGAUAGAAGCGGCAUCCUUUUUUUUAUCUAAAAUAUAUCUUUCAGUAACAAUAUCAUCUCAAAAAAAAGAUACAGCGGAUAGCAGGAUUAAGC
rnacentral:sRNA from 1 species